rnacentral:rRNA from 1 species
AUUGAACGCUGGCGGCAUGCUUUACACAUGCAAGUCGAACGGCAGCGCGGGCUUCGGCCUGGCGGCGAGUGGCGAACGGGUGAGUAAUGCAUCGGAACGUGGCCAGUAGUGGGGGAUAGGGGGGCGAAAGCGGGAUUAAUACGGCAUACGACCUGAGGGGGUAAGCGGGGAACCGGAAGGUCUCGGGCUAUUGGAGGGGCCGAUGUCGGAUUGGCUAAUUGGUGGGGUAAAGGCUUACCAAGGCGACGAGCCGUAGCUGGUCUGAGAGGACGACCAGCCACACGGGGACUGAGACACGUCCCAGACUCCUACGGGAGGCAGCAGGGGGGAAUUUGGGACAAUGGGGGAAACCCUGAUCAGGCAAAGCGGCGGGCGGGAAGAGGGCCUCCGGGUGGUAAACCGCUUUUGUUGGGGAAGAAAUCCUCUGGUCUAAGACCCCGGGGGCAGGAGGGAACCGGAAGAAUAAGCACCGGUUAAUUACGU